AAAGAAAGCGGAAAAU
rnacentral:sRNA from 1 species